rnacentral:rRNA from 1 species
GAGUUUGAUCCUGGCUCAGAACGAACGUUAGCGGCGCGCCUAACACAUGCAAGUCGAACGAGAAAGGGCUACGGCCCCGGUACAGUGGCGCACGGGUGAGUAACACGUAGGUAACCUACCUCCGAGUGGUGGAUAACAUUCCGAAAGGGGUGCUAAUACAGCAUAAGACCACGGCAUCGAAAGAUAUUGGGGUCAAAGCGGGCCUCUUUAUUAAAAGCUCGCGCUUGGAGAUGGGCCUGCGGCGCAUCAGCUAGUUGGCGAGGUAACGGCUCACCAAGGCAAAGACGCGUAGCUGGUCUGAGAGGAUGGCCAGCCACACUGGAACUGAGACACGGUCCAGACUCCUACGGGAGGCAGCAGUGGGGAAUUUUGCGCAAUGGACGAAAGUCUGACGCAGCGACGCCGCGUGGGUGAUGAAGGCCUCCGGGUUGUAAAACUCUGUGGAGAGGGAAGAAUAACAUACGGUUAAUACCCGUACGGAUGACGGUACCUCUUCAGCAAGCACCGGCUAACUCUGUGCCAGCAGCCGCGGUAAGACAGAGGGUGCGAACGUUGUUCGGAAUUACUGGGCGUAAAGCGCGUGUAGGCGGUUGUGCGGGUCGGACGUGAAAGCCCUGGGCUUAACCUAGGAAGUGCAUUCGAAACUGCAUAGCUCGAGUUCCGGAGAGGAUGGUGGAAUUCUCGGUGUAGAGGUGAAAUUCGUAGAUAUCGAGAGGAACACCGGUGGCGAAGGCGGCCAUCUGGACGGAAACUGACGCUGAGACGCGAAAGCGUGGGUAGCAAACAGGAUUAGAUACCCUGGUAGUCCACGCCGUAAACGAUGGGUGCUAGGUGUCGCGGGCUUUGACCCCUGCGGUGCCGCAGCUAACGCAUUAAGCACCCCGCCUGGGGAGUACGGCCGCAAGGCUAAAACUCAAAGGAAUUGACGGGGGCCCGCACAAGCGGUGGAGCAUGUGGUUUAAUUCGAUGCAACGCGAAGAACCUUACCUGGGCUAGAAAACACGCGAAUCCGGCGGAAAGGUCGGAGUGCCUCUCGAGGAAUGCGUGGUUAGGUGCUGCAUGGCUGUCGUCAGCUCGUGUCGUGAGAUGUUGGGUUAAGUCCCGCAACGAGCGCAACCCUUGUCGCUAGUUGCCAGCGAGUUAUGUCGGGAACUCUAGCGAGACUGCCGAUCUUAAAAUCGGAGGAAGGUGGGGAUGACGUCAAGUCAUCAUGGCCCCUAUGUCCAGGGCUACACACGUGCUACAAUGGCCGGCACAAAGGGUUGCCAACCAGCGAUGGCGCGCCAAUCCCAAAAAACCGGCCUCAGUACAGAUAGAAGUCUGCAACUCGACUUCUUGAAGGCGGAAUCGCUAGUAAUCGCUGAUCAGCAGGCAGCGGUGAAUACGUUCCCGGGCCUUGUACACACCGCCCGUCACACCAUGGGAGUUGUUUGCUCCAGAAGUGGCCGAGCCAACCCUUCACCGGGAGGUAAGCCCCUAAGGAGUGAAUGAUGACUGGGGUGAAGUCGUAACAAGGUAGCCGUAGGAGAACCUGCGGCUGGAUCACCUCCUU